GAAGCAUUAUUGCACCCGAAAACCCAGCUGCUCAGAGCGAGCAAUGGACCACGCAACAGGUGGCAUGGGCAGCCUGCUCCUCAAGCUCGGUGAACUCCUCAAGGAGGAAAACGAACUGCAGAAGGGCAUCAAGGAAGACGUCCAGUAUCUUCAAAGAGAGCUGAGGAGCAUGCACGCUGCCCUCCGCAAGGUCGGGGACGUGCCACGGGACCAGCUCGACGAGCAAGUCAAGCUCUGGGCAAACGAGGUCAGUGAUCUUUCAUAUAGAAUGGAGGAUACCAUCGACAAGUUCCUGAUACGUGUUGAGGGCCCUGAGCUUGACGACAAGCCGCACAAGCUCAAACAGCUCGUGAAGAUGUGUGACUUGUUCACCAAGGGCAAGGCGCGACAUGCCAUCGGAAAAGAGAUCAAAGGCAUCAAGGCCAGCGUCCAGGAGGUGGCUGCCCGGCGUGACCGGUACAAGGUCAAAGAUGUGGUUCCUAAUCCAACUGGCCCAAUCAUGGUUGACCCUCGCCUAUCGGCUCUGUACAAGGACCGGAAAGAGCUCGUCGGCAUUGAUGAUUCAUUGAAUGAGCUAACCGAGAAGCUGAGUGACGGGGAUGGUGAUCUGUCCAAGCAACUCAAGAUACUCUCUGUUUUUGGAUUCGGAGGCCUUGGCAAAGACAACUCUUGCCAAAGCAUUGUAUGAUAAUCGCCAAGCGCAGUUCGAUUGCAGCGCUUUCGUUCCGGUAGGAUAGAACCCUAGCGUGAAGAAAAUUCUCAAUGACAUACUGAAUGAAAUUGGUGGGAAAAAGUGCUUGGAGUUGGAUGAAAGGCAGCUAAUCAACAAACUCUGAGGGUUACUUGAGAACAGAAGGUACUUCAUCGUUAUUGAUGACAUAUGGGAUACGGAAACAUGGGAAAUAAUCAUGAACGCUUUCGUGCGUAAUAACUGUGGAAGCAGGAUAAUUACAACUACUCGUAUACUCGAAGUUGCCACAACGACCGGUGAAGUAUACGAGUCAAAACCACUUUCUCAUGAUUUAUCCAAUGAUUUAUUUCAUAGAAGAGUAUCUAUUGGCGAAAUAAAACAGCCUAAUCAUCUGCCGGUAGAGGUAUACAAUAAAACAUAAAUGUGGAGGUGUUCCAUUGGCUAUAAUCACAAUAGCUAGUUUGCUUGUCGGUAAACCGGUGGAGCUUUGGUUUAAGGUAUACACUUCAAUUGGUUUUGGGCAUGAAGAAAACAAGGACGUGGAGAACACGAGAAAAAUACUUCUAUUUAGCUAUUAUGAUCUACCUUGUUACCUAAAGACUUGCUUAUUGUAUCCGAGCAUAU